UGCGGGAAGGUCAUUACUAGAGCAAAGGAUAGACACUACCUUACCUCGGUAAGGUUUAGAGUCGUCGGGCCUCUCGGAGAAGCUCGGUCCUGAACUCCACCCUUGAAUAAAUUACCUUUGUUGCUUUGGCGGGCCGCUUCGGCUACCGGCUACGGCUGGUGAGUGCCCGCCAAAGGACCCCCCAAACUCUGAAUUAUAGUGUCGUCUGAGUACUAUAUAAUAGUUAAAACUUUCAACAACGGAUCUCUUGGUUCUGGCAUCGAUGAAGAACGCAGCGAAAUGCGAUAAGUAAUGUGAAUUGCAGAAUUCAGUGAAUCAUCGAAUCUUUGAACGCACAUUGCGCCCUCUGGUAUUCCGGGGGGCANUGCCUGUUCGAGCGUCAUUAUAACCACUCAAGCUCUCGCUUGGUAUUGGGGUUCGCGGUUUCGCGGCCCCUAAAAUCAGUGGCGGUGCCUGUCGGCUCUACGCGUAGUAAUACUCCUCGCGAUCGAGUCCAGUAGGUCUACUUGCCAGCAACCCCUAAUUGUCUUUUUAAGGUUGACCUCGGAUCAGGUAGGGAUACCCGCUGAACUUAAGCAUAUCAAUAAGGCGGAGGAA
rnacentral:rRNA from 1 species